rnacentral:rRNA from 1 species
AGAUAAGGAGCUUGCUCCUUUGACGUUAGCGGCGGACGGGUGAGUAACACGUGGGUAACCUACCUAUAAGACUGGGACAACUUCGGGAAACCGGAGCUAAUACCGGAUAAUAUGUUGAACCGCAUGGUUCAAUAGUGAAAGAUGGUUUUGCUAUCACUUAUAGAUGGACCCGCGCCGUAUUAGCUAGUUGGUGAGGUAACGGCUCACCAAGGCAACGAUACGUAGCCGACCUGAGAGGGUGAUCGGCCACACUGGAACUGAGACACGGUCCAGACUCCUACGGGAGGCAGCAGUAGGGAAUCUUCCGCAAUGGGCGAAAGCCUGACGGAGCAACGCCGCGUGAGUGAUGAAGGUCUUCGGAUCGUAAAACUCUGUUAUUAGGGAAGAAUAAAUGUGUAAGUAACUAUGCACGUCUUGACGGUACCUAAUCAGAAAGCCACGGCUAACUACGUGCCAGCAGCCGCGGUAAUACGUAGGUGGCAAGCGUUAUCCGGAAUUAUUGGGCGUAAAGCGCGCGUAGGCGGUUUUUUAAGUCUGAUGUGAAAGCCCACGGCUCAACCGUGGAGGGUCAUUGGAAACUGGAAAACUUGAGUGCAGAAGAGGAAAGUGGAAUUCCAUGUGUAGCGGUGAAAUGCGCAGAGAUAUGGAGGAACACCAGUGGCGAAGGCGACUUUCUGGUCUGUAACUGACGCUGAUGUGCGAAAGCGUGGGGAUCAAACAGGAUUAGAUACCCUGGUAGUCCACGCCGUAAACGAUGAGUGCUAAGUGUUAGGGGGUUUCCGCCCCUUAGUGCUGCAGCUAACGCAUUAAGCACUCCGCCUGGGGAGUACGACCGCAAGUGAA